CCCUUAGAUGUUCUGGGCUGCACGCGCGCUACACUGACGCACGCAACAGGUGCCUGCUCCGCGAGGACUGGGUAAUCAUUUGAGUGUGCGUCGUGAUGGGGAUAGAAUAUUGUAAUUAUUACUCUUCAACGAGGAAUUCCUAGUAAGCGCAAGUCAGCAGCUUGCGCUGAUUACGUCCCUGCCCUUUGUACACACCGCCCGUCGCUCCUACCGAUGGGUGAUCCGGUGAAUGAUUCGGACUUCAGCGGCUCCUCUGGGGUGCGCCGGAGAAAGUUUUGUGAACCUUAUCACUUGGAGGAAGGAGAAGUCGUAACA
rnacentral:rRNA from 1 species